UACGAAGGGGGCUAGCGUUGCUCGGAAUCACUGGGCGUAAAGCGCGCGCAGGCGGUUUUUCAAGUCAGUGGUGAAAGCCCGGAGCUCAACUCCGGAACUGCCAUUGAAACUGUGAAACUUGAGGACGAGAGAGGUGAGUGGAAUUCCCAGUGUAGAGGUGAAAUUCGUAGAUAUUGGGAAGAACACCGGUGGCGAAGGCGGCUCACUGGCUCGUUUCUGACGCUGAGGCACGAAAGCGUGGGGAGCAAACAGG
rnacentral:rRNA from 1 species